rnacentral:rRNA from 1 species
UAGGUUGAGCCAGUGGCGAACGGGUGCGUAACACGUGAGUCAUCUGCCUGAAAGUGGGGGAUAGCUCGCCGAAAGGCGAAUUAAUACCGCAUGUGCCCCGAAGCAAUUCGGGGUAAAGCCGGGGCAACCUGGCGCUUUUAGAUGAGCUCGCGGCCUAUCAGCUUGUUGGUAAGGUAACGGCUUACCAAGGCUUCGACGGGUAGCUGGUCUGAGAGGACGACCAGCCACACUGGAACUGAGACACGGUCCAGACACCUACGGGUGGCAGCAGUCGAGAAUUUUUCUCAAUGGGGGAAACCCUGAAGGAGCGACGCCGCGUGGAGGAUGAAGGCUUUCGGGUUGUAAACUCCUGUCAUUUGGGAACAAUACCUUACGUUAACUGCGUGGAGGUUUGAUAGUACCAGAAGAGGAAGAGACGGCUAACUCUGUGCCAGCAGCCGCGGUAAUACAGAGGUCUCGAGCGUUGUUCGGAUUCAUUGGGCGUAAAGGGCGCGUAGGCUGCGGGGCAAGUCGGGUGUGAAAUCUCAGAGCUCAACUCUGAAACUGCACUCGAUACUGCUUUGCUAGAGGACUGGAGAGGAGAUUGGAAUUCUCGGUGUAGCA